UAACAGACGAGAUGUGAAGACAUUUUAUUUUUUAGAGAGGACAGACAGAAAGGGAGGAACAUGAUGCUUCAAUCUUUUUUAAAACACUUGCAAUUAUUUUUAUACGGGCAGCCUCUGCAGAGAUAUACUCAGUGCCUAAUUUAAUACCAGCGUGCCGAUGGAACCGCUCACAGCUUAUGACACACACAGGGGUCACAACAUGACCGUUUAGUCCCUCGCUAAAUGACA